rnacentral:rRNA from 1 species
AUUGAACGCUGGCGGCAGGCUUAACACAUGCAAGUCGAGCGGGGUGAUGGUGCUUGCACUAUCACUUAGCGGCGGACGGGUGAGUAAUGCUUAGGAAUCUGCCCAUUAGUGGGGGACAACAUCUCGAAAGGGAUGCUAAUACCGCAUACGUCCUACGGGAGAAAGCAGGGGAUCACUUGUGACCUUGCGCUAAUAGAUGAGCCUAAGUCGGAUUAGCUAGUUGGUGGGGUAAAGGCCUACCAAGGCGACGAUCUGUAGCGGGUCUGAGAGGAUGAUCCGCCACACUGGGACUGAGACACGGCCCAGACUCCUACGGGAGGCAGCAGUGGGGAAUAUUGGACAAUGGGGGGAACCCUGAUCCAGCCAUGCCGCGUGUGUGAAGAAGGCCUUAUGGUUGUAAAGCACUUUAAGCGAGGAGGAGGCUCUUUUGGUUAAUACCCAAGAUGAGUGGACGUUACUCGCAGAAUAAGCACCGGCUAACCCUGUGCCAGCCGCCGCGGUAA